rnacentral:lncRNA from 1 species
CCUGACUCUCAGAUGCUCUAUAGUGCUUGACACACCUCAACACAGUUAUGUAACCUGAAUGUCCCGGGGCCUCAGGGCACAAAAUGAGGUCACAUAAGUAUUUAUACCCAUGAUUUACUUGUUCAGAUCCCUUCUUAUUGACUGUAUUAGUCCAGGGCACUGGAUAAGUUGCUGGAACAGAGAGAUUCAAAUACAUAACAGUUCAAGCUGAAUAAAAGUUUAUUUCUCCCUCAUGUAACAUCCCAUAGAUGGAUGGUGGUCCUGAGAAGGGAGGCAGCUCUGAUCCACCGUGUCACUCAGGGUCCCAGGUUCCUUCUACCAUGCUGCUUCAUCUGCCCCUGAGGUGUUCUUGUCAGAGCUCAGCACCACCACCAGCAACUUCCUUUUAAGUGAUUCUACUAUGGACCCAAUUCUACUAUGGACACUGAGGAACUGUCCCUCUGAUGGACAGGAGGCUGGGACAUUCAUCCACUGACUCCCAUGUUCCAUUGCUUGAGGACUCUGCCUGGGGGCAUUAGCUCCCCUACCUGCCUGAGGGCAGAAAAGUAGAAAGAGAAGGUAGGCACUGGAGAUGGGAUGCUGUCAGUGUACAGGAGGGCUGUCCACCAGGGCUGCUGCUGAAAUCUGACAAGGGUCUAGGGGACGUGGUGGGAAGCACCAAAAGCAUCACACGGAAAUGUAGCCAAAGUCACUGGAAGUGAGAAGAAUGUGCUUCUGUCCCUCACACUCACAACCCGCUGAUCCAUGGGGCAGGGGACAUGCCAUGCUCUUUUCUCUGAGCCUGGAA